GAGCCCAUGGCUCAGUGGUUAGAGCGUUGGACUUCUGAUCAACGGGUUGUGGGUUCG
rnacentral:tRNA from 1 species